UACAGAGGGUGCGAGCGUUGUUCGGAAUUAUUGGGCGUAAAGGGCGCGUAGGCGGUGCGGUAAGUCACCUGUGAAACCUCUGGGCUUAACUCAGAGCCUGCAGGCGAAACUACCGUGCUGGAGUGUGGGAGAGGUGCGUGGAAUUCCCGGUGUAGCGGUGAAAUGCGUAGAUAUCGGGAGGAACGCCUGUGGCGAAAGCGGCGCACUGGACCACAACUGACGCUGAGGCGCGAAAGCUAGGGGAGCAAACAGG
rnacentral:rRNA from 1 species